AUACGGAGGGGGCUAGCGUUGUUCGGAAUUACUGGGCGUAAAGCGUACGUAGGCGGACUGAUCAGUUGGGGGUGAAAUCCCAGGGCUUAACCCUGGAACUGCCUUCAAUACUGUCAGUCUUGAGUUUGGGAGAGGUGAGUGGAAUUCCUAGUGUAGGGGUGAAAUUCAUAGAUAUUAGGAGGAACACCAGUGGCGAAGGCGGCUCACUGGCCCAUUACUGACGCUGAGGUACGAAAGCGUGGGGAGCAAACAGGAUUAGAUACCCUAGUAGUCC
rnacentral:rRNA from 1 species